CAAAAACAUAACCUUUAGCUAAACAAGUAUUAAAGGCAACGCCUGCCCAGUGAAUAUUAAACGGCCGCGGUACCCUAACCGUGCAAAGGUAGCAUAAUCAUUUGUCUACUAAUUAUAGACCUGUAUGAAUGGCAAAAUGAGGGCCCAACUGUCUCUUAUAAUAAACCAAUUAAACUGAUCUCCUAGUAAAAAAGCUAGAAUAACACCAUAAGACCAGAAGACCCUGUGAAACUUAAACUAAACUAUUAAAACAAAUAAUAGCUACUUUCGGUUGGGGCGACCUUGGAAAAAAAAAGAACUUCCAAACACACCAUACACACUGGCCAACAAGCCAUCAAAGACCCAGCACAGCUGACAAUUGAACCAAGCUACUCCAGGGAUAACAGCGCUAUCUUCUUCAAGAGCCCAUAUCAAAAAGAAGGUUUACGACCUCGAUGUUGGAUCAGGACACCCAAAUGGUGCAACCGCUAUUAAAGGUUCGUUUGUUCAACGAUUAAUGUCCCACGUGAUCUG
rnacentral:rRNA from 1 species